GGGGCCGUGGCGGAACCGGUAGACGCAUUGGACUUAAAAUCCAAUGAGCGUAAGCUCGUGGGGGUUCAAGUCCCCCCGGCCCCACCA
rnacentral:tRNA from 1 species